rnacentral:rRNA from 1 species
GUGCUAGAAAGCAACGAUGAUUACCUCCAGAGAACUUUAGGCGAACCAGAAUAGAGGGUUUCGGCCCUCAUGCGUCCCAAAGUGCCAAGGGGGACAAAAGCCUCCAAGGCACUGCCGCAAGCAAAUUCUAACGUUUCUGGAGAUAAAUCCUUUGCAGACGACUUAAAUAAAGAACGGGGUAUUGUAAGUUGUAGAGUAGCCUUGUUGCUACGAUCUUCUGAGAUUAAGCCUUUGUUCUAAGAUUUGU